CACAUAAAAAUUAUUCAUACGUACUAAUUUAAAAUAACUUUUAUUUUGAAGGAAGAAACUAGAAGAGAACUACAGAACUUAGGAUGCAAUGAAUUUUCCGUAUGCAACAUAUUAAACACUGAACAAUGAUCUGGUAAAAUAAUAAAGAAAAUUAUACAAUUCAUUAAGGAUAGUGAACUUAGAAUAUAGACAUCACAUUAUACACCUAAUCUGAAAUCACUUCACACUCCAGCACAUCAGGUGGCGGUAUGCACCCAAAAAGUUUGUAUGCGACCUGCCAGUAAAUCCAUAGAAGAAGAAGAAGAAACUAGAUAAUCUAUCAGACUUAUACAAAUAAUGUUUUAAAAAAGUCAAUUGCACAUAUAAAAUGUGUGUUUUUAUAAAGUCAGUCGUACUGAAUGUCAAAACAUCCUGAAAAUAAACGACAUUCUCAACCUAAAGGAAGCGGAAAUUUGCUGUGACACAAUUUGCAUAUCAGGGCGGCAAUAAUCAUAAAAUGCGUUAAUGCUGCGCAUGUCGGAAAUAGAUUGUCGCGGCCGCGCCAUUAACUGGAAAUAAGCUUAAAACGAACAGAUUGCACGCUUUUAAGCCUGAAACAGAUGACCGCGCCAUCAACUGAAUUAAACAUCAGACGAACAGAAUGCCAGAUUAAUGCCUGAAAGAGAUCGCCACGCUAUCAACUGAAUUAAACGACAAACAGAAUGCACGAUUUUUAUGCCUGAAAGAUCACCACGCCAAC